CACGGAUCCAGAGUUUGAUUCUGGCUCAGGAUGAACGCUGGCGGCGUGCCUAACACAUGCAAGUCGAGCGAGAAAUUAAUUAAGGAAUCUUCGGAAGAAUUAAUUAAUGGAAAGCGGCGGACGGGUGAGUAACGCGUGGGCAACCUGCCUUUCACAGAGGGAUAGCCAAAGGAAACUUUGAUUAAAACCUCAUAAUGCUAAUUUACUGCAUAAUAGAUUAGCCAAAGAUUUAUCGGUGAAAGAUGGGCCCGCGUCUGAUUAGCUAGUUGGUGAGGUAACGGCUCACCAAGGCAACGAUCAGUAGCCGACCUGAGAGGGUGAUCGGCCACAUUGGAACUGAGACACGGUCCAAACUCCUACGGGAGGCAGCAGUGGGGAAUAUUGCACAAUGGGCGAAAGCCUGAUGCAGCAACGCCGCGUGAACGAAGAAGGCCUUCGGGUCGUAAAGUUCUGUCCAUAGGGAAGAAGCAAAUGACGGUACCUUUGGAGGAAGCCCCGGCUAAAUACGUGCCAGCAGCCGCGGUAAUACGUAUGGGGCAAGCGUUAUCCGGAAUUAUUGGGCGUAAAGAGUGCGUAGGUGGUGGCUUAAGCGCAGGGUUUAAGGCAAUAGCUCAACUAUUGUUCGCCUUGCGAACUGGGUCACUUGAGUACAGGAGAGGAAAGCGGAAUUCCUAGUGUAGCGGUGAAAUGCAUAGAUAUUAGGAGGAACACCAGUGGCGAAGGCGGCUUUCUGGACUGAAACUGACACUGAGGCACGAAAGCGUGGGUAGCAAACAGGAUUAGAUACCCUGGUAGUCCGCACAGUAAACGAUGAAUACUCGCUGUUUGCGAUACACAGUAAGCGGCCAAGCGAAAGCGUUAAGUAUUCCACCUGGGGAGUACGCCGGCAACGGUGAAACUCAAAGGAAUUGACGGGGGCCCGCACAAGCGGAGGAACAUGUGGUUUAAUUCGAUGAUACGCGAGGAACCUUACCCGGGCUUAAAUUGCGCUGGCUUUUACCGGAAACGGUAUUUUCUUCGGACCAGCGUGAAGGUGCUGCAUGGUUGUCGUCAGCUCGUGCCGUGAGGUGUCGGCUUAAGUGCCAUAACGAGCGCAACCCUUAUCUUUAGUUACUAACAGUUUUGCUGAGGACUCUAAAGAGACUGCCGUCGUAAGAUGCGAGGAAGGUGGGGAUGACGUCAAAUCAGCACGGCCUUACGUCCGGGGCUACACACGUGUUACAAUGGGGAGCACAGCAGGUUGCUACACGGCGACGUGAUGCCAAUCCGUAAAACUCCUCUCAGUUCGGAUCGAAGUCUGCAACCCGACUUCGUGAAGCUGGAUUCGCUAGUAAUCGCGCAUCAGCCACGGCGCGGUGAAUACGUUCCCGGGCCUUGUACACACCGCCCGUCAAGCCAUGAAAGCCGGGGGUACCUGAAGUACGUAACCGCGAGGAUCGUCCUAGGGUAAACCUGGUGAUUGGGGCUAAGUCGUAA
rnacentral:rRNA from 1 species